CAGCACCCGCCCUGUUUUUCAGUUACUUUGACAACAGACAACUACCAAAACAACGAACAACACACGGCAAACUGCCCGACGCUCAAGAGAACAUACGAGAAAUGAAAACUAACAAAUUAUAAAGAAUGAAAAGUAAAAAUUAAUGGCGGAAGUGCACAUAAUUGGACAAAUAUUGAAAGCAGCUCACUUUGCCGAGCCACACCUAUAUUGCAAGUGGAGUCUCCAGAGUGGAGACGCCUGGCGUCUGGUUCAGGGCGAGGCGCAGGGCCAGAGCCACCUUGCGGGCCACCGGCUGCAAAACUGCGCGGACUUCGCCCAGUCCCUAGACAUACACCUGAACGCUACCUCCGUUCAAGGCUGGCCACGACUGUUGGUAGAGGUGCACGCUAUCAACGUACUGCAACAAUCCUGGCCUGUCGGAUACGGCUUUGUACACAUACCUUCAACUCCCGGUACGCAUCGGCUGGAUAUAAGCACCUGGAAGGUAGCACAUAAAGGCCUGUGGCAGUCAUUACGAGAACGGUUUGGCGGCGGUGGAGCUGCACUGAGCAGGAACGAUAUCAUCUACUCGGGAGCUGAACGUUACAAGAUGGAAACCCAGAGUUCUGGAAAGGUUAUUGUUCAAUUAAACUUAAUUUUUCGGAAAUUUGAAAAAUACGGUUUAGAGUUCAAGUAGGAAUGAAAGCAUUGCUAUUUUUACCAUGCUGUGGUGAACCACAUACCACACAUAUUCAUUUAAAAUUGAAAAUUCGUUUAAGUUCAAUAAUGUAACAUCACUGACCCCGCCCACUAGCAGGAAAUCUUUUACCACUACUGUUUUUACCAGCAACGAAACGGUCAAAUUUAUCAGCUCAUUAUUGUACGCGACCAGCAUAUAGGUUUCCUCCUCGCCUAAAACGGAUGCCUAAGGAUAUAGUGACCUUUAUUUGUUUCACUGGAAUGCCAGACGGAUGCUCAACACUUGAAUGCGUCUACCGAUGCCACCAUCAAAUGUUUAUAAAUGUUGCUACUGCUCCUGCGAUCUGUAAAUGGCCAGAUUACGUGGGAGAAUACGAAGCGAAUUUUCUAUCAUGACCAACACACUACAUCUACGACAUGUACGAAAGAUUCUAUUGUCAGUCUGCCACCUGCAGCCAAAUUAGAAGCAUCUGCAAGUUUAAGAAGUCUUCCCAGCUGAGCAAGAGUAUUGGCAGCAUAUUCAAAUAAACAUUCACCUAGUGCUACCAAAGCCCGGCGAUCCGGCUAGGUCUGAUCGUUCAAAUCUGUCAGAAGGGAGAUGAUACUAUUUUACAUUGCAUGGAGCAGUGCAACGGCAUAACACUUAAUGCAAAAUAUCUGUUAGAGGAGAUAAAUGUGGAUAGCAACGAACCCCCAUGCAAGAGCACAACCCGGAGAACGGUCAUGAUAUGCAAACGCCAGUCCAAGUUGUUUAUGAAGCCAAAGGAUCCUCAGCUGUCAAGGAAAUUUCAUUAGCGUAGGCUAAGAGUACCACGAGGUUGUAACAUACUUAACUAAAGAAGCCUUGCCUCGUUCAAGGUCAACAGUUUGGAAUGGCAGAUCGACAUUAGCGGAGGCCCUUUCUCUAAGCAAAUCUGUUAUGUUUUACUACAUGCAGAAUAAAAUAAUAAAAGAUAACGUUUUUUCUUCGACCUUAAAAGAAGUGCACAUAUCCGUUAAAAAGCUUACCAAAUUAAUAGAUUAGAAUAACACAACAAAAAAAUAUUUUUAUAAAAAAAAUAAUCAAAAAAUAAAUAAAAUUCAGGUAUUUACCUGGAGCUAGGUAUAACCCAAAGAUUCCACGAAAAAUUUUAGGUCCCCAAUAGCCUAAAAUAUGGCUAAUUUUUGAGCAAAAGUUAGGGGAAUUUGCUGCUUCAAAAUAGUAUAAAUAGUACAAAAACUAUAUGUUUAAAAUAAAAAACAUUUUGACACAAA